rnacentral:rRNA from 1 species
CCUACGGGAGGCAGCAGUGGGGAAUAUUGGGCAAUGGGCGCAAGCCUGACCCAGCCACGCCGCGUGAGGGAAGACGGCUUUCGGGUUGUAAAAUUCUUUUUUCAGGGACGAAGCCGGUGACGGUACUUGCGUAAUAAGCCACGGCUAACUACGUACCAGCAGCCGCGGUCAUCCGGGGGUGGCAAGCGUUAUCCGGAUUUCCUGCGUGUAACGGGCGUAUAGGCGGGACCGUAAGUCAAAUGUGAACAUCACGGGCUCAACCUGUGGCCUGCAUUUGAAACUGGCGGUCUUGAGUACAGGAGAGGCAGGCGGAAGGCCGAGUGGAGCGGUGAAAUGCGUAGAUAUUAGGAGGAACACCGGUGGCGAAGGCGGUCUGCUGGACAGCGACUGACGCUGAGGCGCGAAAGCGUGGGGAGCAAACAGGAUUAGAUACCCGGGUAGUC